rnacentral:rRNA from 1 species
AAAUUCUGGAAUGAGUUAUCUCUUAAAGCUUCGGCGUCUAAAGAUGAGUUGGCGGUGGAUUAGGUUGUUGGCGGGGUAAUGGCCCACCAAGCCGAAGAUCCAUAGGGGCCCUGAGAGGGGAAGCCCCGAGAAGGACACUGAAAUACUGGUCCUAGCCCUACGGGGUGCAGCAGGCGCGAAACCUUUACAAUGCACGAAAGUGUGAUAAGGGAAUCCAAAGUGCUCAUACUUUGUAUGGGCUUUUGCCAAGAGUAAAUAUCUUGGAGAAUAAGUGGUGGGAAAGACUGGUGCCAGCCGCCGCGGUAAUACCAGCGCCACAAGUGGGAAUCAUUUUUAUUUGGCCUAAAGCGUCCGUAGCUGGUUUGAUAAAUCUUUUGUGAAAUCAUCAGGCUUAACCUGAUGGCAUGCAGGAGACACUGCCAGACUCGGAACCGGGAGAAGUUAGGAGUAUUCUUGGGGGAGCGGUAAAAUGCUAUAAUCCCAAGCAGACUACCUGUGGCGAAGGCGCCUAACUAGAACGGAUUCGACAGUGAGGGACGAAAGCCAGGGGAGCGAUCCGGAUUAGAUACCCGAGUAGUCCUGGCCCUAAACGCUGCGAGCUAGGUGUUGCAUAUUCUAACAUGAAUAUGCAGUGUCGAAGCGAAGGUGUUAAGCUCGCCGCCUGGGAAGUACGGUCGCAAGACUGAAACUUAAAGGAAUUGGCGGGGGAGCACCACAAGGGGUGCGACGUGCGGUUUAAUCUAACUCAACACAGAGAAUCUCACCAGAAGCGACGGCAGAAUGAAAGUCAGUCUAAUGGGCUUACUUGACGAGCCGAGAGGUAGUGCAUGGCCGCCGUCAGUUCGUACCGUAAGGUGUCCUGUUAAGUCAGGCAACGAACGAGACCUAUACUCAUAAUUGCUAGCAGGCUAUGUGACUGUGCACAUUAUGAGAACUGCCUUCGAAAGGAGGAGGAAGGUGUAGGCUACGGUAGGUCUGUAUGCUCCGAAUCUUCUGGGCUACACGCGCGUAACAAUGGUAAGAACACUGGGAUACAACUCCGAAAGGAGAAGUUAAACCUCUAAAUCUUAUCCAAGUUCAGAUUGAGGAUUGUAACUCAUCCUCAUGACGAUGGAAUCCCUAGUAAUCGGGUGUCAUCAACGCCCGGUGAAUAUGUCCCUGCUCCUUGCACACACCGCCCGUCAAACCAACCGAGCAGGGUUUAGAUGAGUAUUAGCUUUUUUGGUUAAUCCGAAUCUAAGUUCAGUAAGGUGGGUUAAGUCGUCACAAGGUA